GAUGAACGCUGACAGAAUGCUUAACACAUGCAAGUCGAUGGGGAAGUGGUGCUUGCACCAUGGUAACCAUGGCGGACGGGUGAGUAACGCGUAAGGAACUUACCUGCGGGACCGGGAUAACAGCAGGAAACUGCUGACAAGACCGGAUAAGGUCAUUAAGCUGCAUAGCUUAGUGAUGAAAGGAGACGCCUGCGGAGAGCCUUGCGUCCUAUUAGCUAGUUGGAGGGGUAACGGCCCACCAAGGCGAAGAUAGGUAGCCGGCCUGAGAGGGUGGACGGCCACAAGGGGACUGAGAUACGGCCCUUACGCCUACGGGAGGCAGCAGUGGGGAAUAUUGGACAAUGGGGGCAACCCUGAUCCAGCAAUUCUGUGUGCACGAAGACGGUUUUCGGAUUGUAAAGUGCUUUCAGCAGGGAAGAAGGAAGUGACGGUACCUGCAGAAGAAGCGACGGCUAAAUACGUG
rnacentral:rRNA from 1 species